rnacentral:tRNA from 1 species
UUAAUUGAAACCAAAAAGAGGUUUAUCACUGUUAAUGAUAAUAAUGGAUUAAUCCCAAUUAAA